CAGUGGCAGCACUGUUAGCCAUCAUUCACUGCGUCCGUUCCAAGCAAUGGAAACACGUGAGACCUAAAGAAUAUUUCACUAGCGUGUGAAAAAAGAAAAGUUUCUCCAAAGGCUCGUCACUCCAACCCACUGCCAUAGGCAAGUAGAAGGGAACAAAGCUCGAAAAGCUUAUAAGAAAGGUGAAACCACAAAAGAGAGAGUUAAUGGCCAAUCCACAGCUUUGGAUCUGUCUCUUGAAGAUUGAAGAGAGAUUGAAGACACAGCUAUAACCAUUAGAAGUACGUUGGAGCAACAUGGGAGGAGCGGAUGAUCGUCUGGAACGCCUCAUGAUGAAAGGAUUGAAGAAUGAAGAAGUAAUCUGCUUCUGUGAAGAAGGAUCAACUUGUCAGCUUCUUGUCCAAGGUCAAAGAGGAACAGGAAAUGCAGUGCAUCAGCAUAAGAAAGGAAGCAGCAGUCUCUUUUUUGCAACGACAACCCUGAGGAUACAGCAGUUGUCUUCAAAUCUGUGACCAUAAAAAUCAUUAUCUCUGUGAAAUACAGCAAUUUGGGAGAUAAUCAAACAGUGACCAGGGGGCAGAGCUGCCAAUCUGAAGGAUUAUGCUCUGUGCACGUCUGAUUCCGCCUGACCUUCCUCGGAGCCAGCUGUCAGCUUGGCGAAAAAACACACAAAUCGACUUCAGGCACAUUCAUUAGACUGUCUUGAGUGAAAAAAAUAAUUUGCAUAAAGCCUCAGCUUUCUUAAUUAGUACUUAAUUUUUUCCCUUGACUUAUUUUGUGCUAAGUCCACUAUUUAAUAUCACCUAGUUAAAGACAGAAACAACUCAUCCAAAAUAUUCACUUUAAUAUCUUUUGAUUUUUUUUUUUCAUUUUAGAAGUAUGUGAAGCCAGUUAUAAUAUACCCACUUGUGUAUGAAACAAUUGUGUGUGAAACACAGUUUAGGUAUUGAAUAUAUAUGCAUUAAGCAGAAGCUAAUUACAAUGCAAGAUUCACACUGUUUACAAUGACAUCAAAUGCAUGUUGCAUAUGACACUUGGGCAUGGAGCAAUGUGCACUAAUUAAGCUAUUUUGGGUUUAAGUCUAGCACUAUACCUUUAAUUAAGAGUGUUCUGCUAUUUCAGGAUCAUGUUUGUUCUGGCUGAGAUCAUCUGUUGCUCUUCUUGCUAAAAGCUUAGAAACAAUUUGAUCUGGAGGGGAAACACACAGUGUUCAGGUCAACAAUUUACAGGGGAAACAACAAGAUUAUGUAAACCUAAUUGAUAUGCGUUGUAUCCUUCACAAAUAGUCUCAGGUUAUUUUCCUGUUAAAAAUAGUAGGUGUGGAAUUGGAAAUAUAUGUACUUAUUUCCCUUUGCUAAGGAUAAUAGCCAUCUAAAGCAAAAUGAUUUUAAAAAACAAAACAAAAUAACAAAACCUUUGAAAUUGAUUUUGUUUGAAAGUGUUAUAGAAGCAUUAAAUGCAUAAUAAAACAUUGCACAAUAAAAAGACAACGUAAAAGUGCUUUGUAUGAAUUUCAAA